rnacentral:rRNA from 1 species
AAAAUAUAGAUAAUUCCUGCCCAGUGACAAAGUUCAACGGCCGCGGUAUCCUAACCGUGCAAAGGUAGCAUAAUCACUUGCCUAUUAAUUGUAGGCUAGAAUGAAAGGAUAAACGAAAUAAAAACUGUCUCAGUUAGAAACUUAAAAAUUACUCUUCACAUGAAGAAGUGUGAAUCAAUUCGAAGGACAAGAAGACCCUAUAGAGCUUCAUUUAAAUAGAGUGCAAUACUACAUAAAAUUCGGUUGGGGCGACCAUGGGAAAACAAAACACCCAAAAAAAAAUAGAUAUAUUAAUCAAAUUAAUUGACCCUAGUAAGAUCACAAAACCAAGCUACCUUAGGGAUAACAGGCUAAUUCCCCUCAAGAGUUCAUAUCAACAGGGGGGUUUGGCACCUCGAUGUUGGCUUAGGGCAUCAAUAUAGCGCAAAAGUUAUAUAAAGAUGGUUUGUUCAACCAAUAAUCC